GUCUUGCGUCUCGCUUGGCUUUCCGCUCCGGCCGCCUCCUUACGUGAGCAGUCCCUGCUCGCUCGCGCCCCCAGACCCCCAGCAUCUGCCACGCGAGUGCCCCCUUCUCCGCUCCCACACACUUUCCCCCCUGCACCCCCAACCCCGGUCCCCCUCGCCCUCCUGCUGCUGAUUAACUCUGUGACUUUCAAUUAAGCGAGUACUUAGCGAACGGUCUCUGUGCCAGCUGCGACAGGCUUGCGAAAGAGCUGGCCAACUUCUUCCCUGCAUCUUGCUGUCCUUUUUGCUGUUGUUUGUUUUUUUCAACCCUGGCUGCAAACUAGAAUUACCAGUUCCUGGACUUUUCUAUCACUAUUUGAG